rnacentral:rRNA from 1 species
AGAGUUUGAUCAUGGCUCAGAAUGAACGCUGGCGGCGUGCUUAACACAUGCAAGUCGAACGAUGAAGCCUAGCUUGCUAGGUGGAUUAGUGGCGCACGGGUGAGUAAUAUAUAGAUAACGUGCCUCUUAGUCUGGGAUAGCCAUUGGAAACGAUGAUUAAUACUAGAUACUCCUUCUCUUUAUAAUAAGAGUUGGGAAAGUUUUUCGCUAAGAGAUCGGUCUAUAUCCCAUCAGCUUGUUGGUAGUGUAAGAGACUACCAAGGCAAUGACGGGUAGCGGGUUUGAGAGGAUGAUCCGCCACACUGGUACUGAGACACGGACCAGACUCCUACGGGAGGCAGCAGUGAGGAAUAUUGCACAAUGGAGGAAACUCUGAUGCAGCAACGCCGCGUGGAGGAUGACGCAUUUCGGUGUGUAAACUCCUUUUAUAUGUCAAGAAAAUGACGGUAGCAUAUGAAUAAGCACCGGCUAACUCCGUGCCAGCAGCCGCGGUAAUACGGAGGGUGCAAGCGUUAUUCGGAAUCACUGGGCGUAAAGGACACGUAGGCGGGAAGCCAAGUCUGAUGUGAAAUCCUAUGGCUUAACCAUAGAACUGCAUUGGAAACUGGUUACCUAGAGUAUGGGAGGGGGAGAUGGAAUUAGUGGGUGUAGGGGGUAAAAUCCGUAGAUAUCACUAGGAAUACCUAAAGCGAAGGCGAUCUCCUGGAACAUUACUGACGCUAAGGUGUGAAAGCGUGGGGAGCAAACGGGAUUAGAUACCCCGGUAGUCCACGCCCUAAACGACGUUCACUAGUCGUCGGGAUGCUAGUCAUCUCGGUGAUGCACUUAACAGAUUAAGUGAA